rnacentral:rRNA from 1 species
AUUGAACGCUGGCGGCAGGCCUAACACAUGCAAGUCGAACGGUAACAGGAAGAAGCUUGCUUCUUUGCUGACGAGUGGCGGACGGGUGAGUAAUGUCUGGGAAACUGCCUGAUGGAGGGGGAUAACUACUGGAAACGGUAGCUAAUACCGCAUAACGUCGCAAGACCAAAGAGGGGGACCUUCGGGCCUCUUGCCAUCGGAUGUGCCCAGAUGGGAUUAGCUAGUAGGUGGGGUAACGGCUCACCUAGGCGACGAUCCCUAGCUGGUCUGAGAGGAUGACCAGCCACACUGGAACUGAGACACGGUCCAGACUCCUACGGGAGGCAGCAGUGGGGAAUAUUGCACAAUGGGCGCAAGCCUGAUGCAGCCAUGCCGCGUGUAUGAAGAAGGCCUUCGGGUUGUAAAGUACUUUCAGCGGGGAGGAAGGGAGUAAAGUUAAUACCUUUGCUCAUUGACGUUACCCGCAGAAGAAGCACCGGCUAACUCCGUGCCAGCAGCCGCGGUAAUACGGAGGGUGCAAGCGUUAAUCGGAAUUACUGGGCGUAAAGCGCACGCAGGCGGUUUGUUAAGUCAGAUGUGAAAUCCCCGGGCUCAACCUGGGAACUGCAUCUGAUACUGGCAAGCUUGAGUCUCGUAGAGGGGGGUAGAAUUCCAGGUGUAGCGGUGAAAUGCGUAGAGAUCUGGAGGAAUACCGGUGGCGAAGGCGGCCCCCUGGACGAAGACUGACGC